rnacentral:misc_RNA from 1 species
GAGCGUCAUUUCAACCAUCAAGCCCCCGGCUUGCGUUGGAGCCCUGCGGCUGCCGCAGGCUCCCAAAUCCAGUGGCGGGCUCGUCGUCGUACCGAGUGCAGUAAACAUCCUCGCUCAGGGAACGCGUCGGGUUCUUGCCGUGAAACACCCCACAUAUCAAGGUUGACCUCGGAUCAGGUAGGAAUACCCGCUGAACUUAA